rnacentral:lncRNA from 1 species
CAAGAAUGGAAAGUUUAAUCAAAAGAAUAAAAUUUUUCCAAACAUGAUGAUCUCUGCAUAUAUGUGAAUUAAAAGGAAGCAGCAAUUGUGGAUAACAAAACAUGAACAACAGCGACCUUAAAUCUUGACGAUGAAAUUGAAACAAAAAAUAAAGAAAAUCAAUUCAAAAUCGUUAAAAAUAGAAUAACAAUACUAGCCAGGAUAACUAAACCCCUAAAACCAUAAACCCUAAACCCUAUACACAUGUUGAUAAAAAGAAAAAGAAGAUAAAUUUAAAAAAAAAAACAGCGGGUGUUCUCCAUAUAUUUUAUUUUUGACUACGACAAAUUUCUCUAUUUUUCAUUGCUCAAAUGAAAAAGCCCCUUAACCAAAGAAUAACUUAUCACCAAAAUAAAAUAAAAAAAAAGGCAACUUACAGCAUAAUAUUAUGCUCCACACUCUAAAAAAAAAGAAAAUGAAAAACAAAAAUAUUAUGUCUUUUCUAAUAAGUAUUACACAUAUUAUUUUAGUAACAGAUAAUUUCAUAUAGAAUUUGCAUCAUAACAAUUGCAUUAAUCAGGAAAUGUAAUUAACCUUAACCGAGAUGUGUAAAAAAAUUGAAAAAAAAAAAUUGUUUAUGUACUAUUACAUAAGAAGGCAAUAUUUUGUGCCAUGUUCAUUUUUGCUUAUAUUACCAACUACAUAUUUUUAUUUUUACAAAAUCAAAAAUUAAAUAAAUAAAUAAAAAUUUUUAAAAAAAUUUCUGUUAA